GGACCCGCACAAGCGGUGGAGCAUGUGGUUUAAUUCGACGCAACGCGAAGAACCUUACCAGGGCUUGACAUCCCUCGCUAUCCUGUGAAAGCAGGAGUUCUAGCCUUCGGGUUAGACGAGGAGACAGGUGGUGCAUGGUUGUCGUCAGCUCGUGUCGUGAGAUGUUGGGUUAAGUCCCGCAACGAGCGCAACCCCUAUUUCUAGUUGCCAGCGAGUAAUGUCGGGAACUCUAGAGAAACUGCCGGUGACAAACCGGAGGAAGGUGGGGAUGACGUCAAAUCAUCAUGCCCCUUAUGUCCUGGGCUACACACGUGCUACAAUGGCCGGUACAGAGGGUUGCUAAACCGUGAGGUGGAGCUAAUCCCAAAAAGCCGGUCUCAGUUCGGAUUGUAGGCUGCAACCCGCCUACAUGAAGUCGGAAUCGCUAGUAAUCGCGAGUCAGCAUAUCGCGGUGAAUACGUUCCCGGGUCUU
rnacentral:rRNA from 1 species